GAUCAUGGCUCAGGACGAACGCUGGCGGCGUGCCUAACACAUGCAAGUCGAACGAAGCUCGAAGCUCUGAGAUUUCGGUCAAGGAGCCUAGAUGACUUAGUGGCGAACGGGUGAGUAAUGCGUGAGCAACCUGCCUUUCAGAGGGGGACAACAGUUGGAAACGACUGCUAAUACCGCAUAAUGUAUCCGGUAGGCAUCUACUGGAUACCAAAGGAGCAAUCCGCUGAAAG
rnacentral:rRNA from 1 species